AAGUACGAGCGAACAGAUAAGGAGGCUUGUCUCCUUUCGUAAGUUAAGUACGGCGGACCGGGGUACGGAGGUAACAACCGUGGGUAACCGUAACCUACUAAGAACUCGGGAGUAACUUACGGGUAACCGGGAACGGCGUAAUACCGGUACUAAUAUUUAGUAACCGACGAUGGUUCUAAAGUGAAAGAUGGUUUUGCUAUCACUUAUAGAUGGACCCGCGCCGUAUUAGCUAGUUGGUAAGGUAACGGCUUACCAAGGCGACGAUACGUAGCCGACCUGAGAGGGUGAUCGGCCACACUGGAACUGAGACACGGUCCAGACUCCUACGGGAGGCAGCAGUAGGGAAUCUUCCGCAAUGGGCGAAAGCCUGACGGAGCAACGCCGCGUGAGUGAUGAAGGGUUUCGGCUCGUAAAACUCUGUUAUUAGGGAAGAACAAAUAUGUAAGUAACUGUGCACAUCUUGACGGUACCUAAUCAGAAAGCCACGGCUAACUACGU
rnacentral:rRNA from 1 species